rnacentral:rRNA from 1 species
AAUCAACGCUGGCGGCGUGCCUCAGACAUGCAAGUCGAACGCGAAAGGUUCCUUCGGGACCGAGUAGAGUGGCGCACGGGUGAGUAACACGUAGGUAAUUUGCCUUUGGGUGGGAAGUAACUACAGGGAAACUUGAGCUAAUACCGCAUAAUGCAGCGGCUCGACAUCGAGACAGUUGUUAAAGCGGGGGAGUUCGCAAGAACCU